UACGAAGGGGGCUAGCGUUGCUCGGAAUCACUGGGCGUAAAGCGCACGUAGGCGGAUCCUUAAGUCGGGGGUGAAAUCCUGGAGCUCAACUCCAGAACUGCCUUCGAUACUGAGGAUCUCGAGUCCGGGAGAGGUGAGUGGAACUGCGAGUGUAGAGGUGAAAUUCGUAGAUAUUCGCAAGAACACCAGUGGCGAAGGCGGCUAACUGGUCCGGUUCUGACGCUGAGGCGCGAAAGCGUGGGGAGCAAACAGG
rnacentral:rRNA from 1 species